rnacentral:rRNA from 1 species
UACGAAGGGGGCUAGCGUUGUUCGGAAUUACUGGGCGUAAAGCGCGCGCAGGCGGUUCUUUAAGUCAGGGGUGAAAGCCCAGAGCUCAACUCUGGAAUUGCCCUUGAAACUGCAGAACUUGAGUACGGGAGAGGUGAGUGGAAUUCCCAGUGUAGAGGUGAAAUGCGUAGAUAUGGGGAAGAACACCGGUGGCGAAGGCGGCUCACUGGACCGUUACUGACGCUCAGGCGCGACAGCGUGGGGAUCAAACAGG